CCCCGUCAUCCCGGUCCCCUUCUCUGGCCCUUAAAUCCAAACCCUUUGUUUCUCUCUUCCCCAAUGCAUCCCCUUCGGGACUCUUCGGACCCCAGCCCUCCAGAACAGCCCCUCUUCAAAUCUAGCCGCUGGGAUGGCGAGUCUGCCCAUCCUAAACUCCGCUUUCGGCUGAGCUCUCAUCUCCCUGGGACCCGCAGCAUGGCUGAGGGAAGCUUCAGCGUGCAAUCGGAAAGCUACCAGUGUUGAAGACAUGGAUGAGGGUAGCGACGAAGUCCGGGAGGAAGAGAUGGUUGAAGGCAACGACUAUGAAGAAUUCGGUGCGUUUGGUGGCUACGGCACCCUCACCAGCUUUGACAUCCAUAUCCUCAGAGCCUUCGGAAGCUUGGGUCCCGGCCUUCGCAUCUUAUCGAAUGAGCCCUGGGAACUGGAAAACCCUGUGCUGGCCCAGACCCUGGUGGAGGCAUUGCAACUGGAUCCGGACACACUUGCCAAUGAGACCGCCGCCCGUGCUGCCAAUGUAGCCCGCGCCGCCGCCUCCAACCGUGCGGCUCGGGCCGCUGCCGCCGCUGCCCGUACCGCCUUCACUCAGGUGGUCGCUAGCCACCGGGUGGCCACGCCGCAGGUCUCAGGAGAGGAUACCCAGCCCACGACCUACGCCGCCGAGGCUCAGGGGCCCACCCCUGAGCCACCCCUUGCUUCUCCGCAGACCUCCCAGAUGUUAGUCACCAGUGAGAUGGCUGCCCCCGGGGCCCCAGUAACCUCCACAAAGUCCCAGACAGGCUCCCCGGCCCAGGAGGCUGCUACCGAGGGCCCUAGUAGCGCCUGUGCUUUCUCUCAGGCUCCGUGUGCCAGGGAGGUGGACACCACCCGGCCCAGCACAGCCUUCCUGGGUCAGAAUGAUGUCUUGAUUUCACUCAGCCGGCGGGGGUCAGUGGCAUGGCCUUCCCACGCCCCAAGAGACCUGCCCCAGCCCAAGAGGCUGCCACGGAGGGCUCCAGUGCUGCCUCCGGUGUGCCCCAGACUGGACCUGGCAGAGAGGUGGCAGCCACCCGGCCCAAGACCACCAAGUCAGGGAAGGCGCUGGCCAAGACUCGGUGGGUGGAGCCUCAGAACGUUGUGGCAGCAGCUGCUGCCAAGGCCAAGAUGGCCACGAGCAUCCCUGAGCCGGAGGGCGCAGCUGCUGCCACUGCUCAGCACAGUGCUGAGCCCUGGGCCAGGAUGGGAGGCAAGAGGACCAAGAAGUCCAAGCACCUGGAUGAUGAGUAUGAGAGCAGCGAGGAGGAGAGAGAGCCUCCUGCGGUCCCACCCACCUGGAGAGCAUCACAGCCCUCAUUGACGGUGCGGGCUCAGUUGGCCCCUCGGCGCCCGGUGGCCCCGAGGUCCCAGAUACCCUCAAGGCACGUACUGUGCCUGCCGCCCCGCAACGUGACGCUUCUGCAAGAGAGGGCAAAUAAGUUGGUAAAAUACCUGAUGAUUAAGGACUACAAGAAGAUCCCCAUCAAGCGUGCAGACAUGCUGAAGGAUGUCAUCAGAGAAUAUGAUGAACAUUUCCCUGAGAUCAUUGAACGAGCAACGUACACCCUGGAAAAGAAGUUUGGGAUCCACCUGAAGGAGAUCGACAAGGAAGAACACCUGUAUAUUCUUGUCUGCACACGGGACUCCUCAGCUCGCCUCCUUGGAAAAACCAAGGACACUCCCAGGCUGAGUCUCCUCUUGGUGAUUCUGGGCGUCAUCUUCAUGAAUGGCAACCGUGCCAGCGAGGCUGUCCUCUGGGAGGCACUACGCAAGAUGGGACUGCGCCCUGGGGUGAGGCACCCAUUCCUCGGCGAUCUGAGGAAGCUCAUCACAGAUGACUUUGUGAAGCAGAAGUACCUGGAAUACAAGAAGAUCCCUAACAGCAACCCACCUGAGUAUGAAUUCCUCUGGGGCCUGCGAGCCCGCCAUGAGACCAGCAAGAUGAGGGUCCUGAGAUUUCCUCCACAGAAUCAGAACCGAGACCCCCGGGAAUGGAAGGCUCAUUUCUUGGAGGCUGUGGAUGAUGCUUUCAAGACAAUGGAUGUGGAUAUGGCCGAGGAACAUGCCAGGGCCCAGAUGAGGGCCCAGAUGAAUAUCGGGGACGAAGCUCUGAUUGGACGGUGGAGCUGGGAUGACAUACAAGUCGAGCUCCUGACCUGGGAUGAGGACGGAGAUUUUGGCGACGCCUGGGCCAGGAUCCCUUUGCUUUCUGGGCCAGAUACCAUCAGUACAUUCUGAAUAGCAACCGUGCCAACAGGAGGGCCACGUGGAGAGCUGGUGUCAGCAGUGGCACCAAUGGAGGGGCCAGCACCAGCGUCCUAGAUGGCCCUAGCACCAGCUCCACCAUCCGGACCAGAAAUGCCGCCAGAGCUGGCGCCAGCUUCUUCUCCUGGAUCCAGUAA